rnacentral:rRNA from 1 species
GUGCCAGCCGCCGCGGUAAUACCAGCACCCCGAGUGGUCGGGACGAUUAUUGGGCCUAAAGCAUCCGUAGCCGGUACUGCAAGUCUUCCGUUAAAUCCACCUGCUCAACAGUUGGGCUGCGGAGGAUACUACAGCGCUAGGAGGCGGGAGAGGCAAGCGGUACUCAUUGGGUAGGGGUAAAAUCCACUGAUCCAUUGAAGACCACCAGUGGCGAAGGCGGCUUGCCAGAACGCGCUCGACGGUGAGGGAUGAAAGCUGGGGGAGCAAACCGGAUUAGAUACCCCGGUAGUCC